rnacentral:rRNA from 1 species
UACGAAGGGGGCUAGCGUUGCUCGGAAUCACUGGGCGUAAAGCGCACGUAGGCGGGUCGUUAAGUCGGGGGUGAAAUCCUGGAGCUCAACUCCAGAACUGCCUUCGAUACUGGCGAUCUUGAGUCUGGGAGAGGUGAGUGGAACUCCGAGUGUAGAGGUGAAAUUCGUAGAUAUCGGGAAGAACACCCGUGGCGAAGGCGGUUCUCUGGGACGGUACUGACGCUGAGACGCGAAAGCGUGGGGAGCGAACAGG